rfam:Schistosoma haematobium scaffold133_4, whole genome shotgun sequence.
GCACUGCUGAAGAGUCCCACAAUAGGACAAGACAGCCGUCCAGUGC